CUAGCCUACAAUGCCAAAAGUAGGCAUCCAUGACAUUGACAAUCCUAGGACACUUAUUUGACAUGUACAUUACAUUAGACCUAAAUACAAUAUAGAUUCCAUUAUUUAACCGUCCAUGCAAAAUUAUAACACCAUUCAAAAUAAUAUCACAACUUUUUCUUUAUCGAUAUUUCAUAAUUUGAAUUGGCCAAAAGGCCUAUACAAAUAACAUUUAAAAGAAAACUAAGACAGUAAUUAUAUUCAUUUAGAACAAUAGAAUGAGAUUCGAAUACAAACUUGAUGAUUCCUGUUGGGUAAAAAAUACCCCCCAGCCGAAGUUCGUGUCAGGAAUGACCCUCCGGAGAUUCUACCGACGUCCGACUUUCGACGACAUCUUUCCAAACCUCUCCGACAGCCGAGCCUCCACAACAUUCUCAAGUUAUGCCGACGGAUGAACCCCUAUCAGUGUCAACCGGAUUCUCCACAAUGGACGGACUCCAUCCAAGUUUCUACGGUGGUUGCCCACCUUCUAGACUUCGUCCGGACUCCUACGGGAGCCGGACCUCUUCCCCGAACUCCAACUGUAGGCAGCCUUCGUUCGGACUCCUACGGGAGCCGGACCUCUUCCCCAAACUCCAACUGCAGGUAGCCUUCGUCCGGGCUCCUACGGGAGCCGGACCUCUUCCCUGAACUUCGACUGCAGGUAGAUUUUGUCCGGACUCCUACGGAAGCCGGACUCCUUCCCCGAACAAGUAGACUUCAUCCGAGCUCCUACAGGAGCCGGACUUCCGCCCUGAACUCCUGUUACAGGUAGACCUCACCCCGAACUCCUACAAGGGCCGGACUCCAAGCUUCUACUGCAAGCGACCCACUCCGAGCUUCUGCUACAAACGAUUUUCUUCAAAUUUCUACCACGAGCGGUCCGUGUCGGAUUCCCACUGUAAGCCUUCACCCGAGCUUCCAUUGUGAACGAAUUCCUUUCGAAUUUUUAUUGUAGACAGGCCUCGACCGAGAUUCCUCGAUAAAUGAUCUCCAUCUGGGCUUCUACGGAGAUCGGACUCCGACCGA
rnacentral:lncRNA from 1 species